UACGGGGGGAGCAAGCGUUGUUCGGAUUUACUGGGCGUAAAGGGCGCGUAGGCGGUCUUGCAAGUCCUGUGUGAAAUCCCUCGGCUCAACUGAGGAACUGCACAGGAAACUGCUUGGCUUGAGUUCGGGAGAGGGAAGCGGAAUUCCGGGUGUAGCGGUGAAAUGCGUAGAUAUCCGGAGGAACACCGGUGGCGAAGGCGGCUUCCUGGACCGACACUGACGCUGAGGCGCGAAAGCUAGGGGAGCAAACGGG
rnacentral:rRNA from 1 species